CAUGCAGGCGGCCUGUCAAGCGGGAUGUGAAAGCCCCGGGCUCAACCCGGGAAGUGCAUUCCGAACUGUCAGGCUUGAGUCCGGAAGAGGGUGGUGGAAUUCCUGGUGGAACGGUGAAAUGUGUAGAUAUCAGGAGGAACACCGGUGGCGAAGGCGACCACCUGGUCCGGUACUGACGCUCAAGUGCGAAAGCGUGGGGAGCAAACA
rnacentral:rRNA from 1 species